CGGGGUGCAGCAGGCGCGAAAACUUUACAAUGCCGGCAACGGCGAUAAGGGAACCUCGAGUGCCAGGUUACAAAUCUGGCUGUCGUGAUGCCUAAAAAGCAUUGCAUAGCAAGGGCCGGGCAAGACCGGUGCCAGCCGCCGCGGUAACACCGGCGGCUCGAGUGGUAACCGUUAUUAUUGGGUCUAAAGGGUCUGUAGCCGGCCGGGUAAGUCUCUUGGGAAAUCUGGCAGCUUAACUGUCAGGCUUUCAGGAGAUACUGCCUGGCUCGAGGCCGGGAGAGGUGAGAGGUACUUCAGGGGUAGGGGUGAAAUCUUGUAAUCCUUGAAGGACCACCAGUGGCGAAGGCGUCUCACCAGAACGGACCUGACGGCAAGGGACGAAAGCUAGGGGCACGAACCGGAUUAGAUACCCGGGUAGUCCUAGCCGUAAACGAUCCUCGCUAGGUGUCGGCCACGGUGCGACCGUGGUCGGUGCCGUAGGGAAGCCGUGAAGCGAGCCACCUGGGAAGUACGGCCGCAAGGCUGAAACUUAAAGGAAUUGGCGGGGGAGCACAAGGGCGAAUCGCG
rnacentral:rRNA from 1 species